GAGUUUGAUCCUGGCUCAGGACGAACGCUGGUGGCGUGCUUAACACAUGCAAGUCGAACGAUGAAAGCGGGAGCUUGCUUCUGCUGGAUUAGUGGCGAACGGGUGAGUAACACGUGAGCAAUCUGCCCCGAACUCUGGGAUAAGCGUUGGAAACGACGUCUAAUACCGGAUACGACGCGCGAAGGCAUCUUCUGCGCGUGGAAAGAAUUUCGGUUCGGGAUGAGCUCGCGGCCUAUCAGCUAGUUGGUGAGGCAAUGGCUCACCAAGGCGACGACGGGUAGCCGGCCUGAGAGGGUGACCGGCCACACUGGGACUGAGACACGGCCCAGACUCCUACGGGAGGCAGCAGUGGGGAAUAUUGCACAAUGGGCGCAAGCCUGAUCCAGCCAUGCCGCGUGUGUGAAGAAGGCCUUCGGGUUGUAAAGCACUUUAAGUUGGGAGGAAGGUUCUCUGGCUAAUAUCCAGGGGAAUUGACGUUACCAACAGAAUAAGCACCGGCUAAUUCCGUGCCAGCAGCCGCGGUAAUACGGAAGGUGCGAGCGUUAAUCGGAAUUACUGGGCGUAAAGCGCACGUAGGCGGUUUUUUAAGUCGGAUGUGAAAGCCCUGGGCUCAACCUGGGAAUUGCAUCCGAUACUGAAAGACUAGAGUACGGUAGAGGGGGGUGGAAUUCCAGGUGUAGCGGUGAAAUGCGUAGAGAUCUGGAGGAACACCGGUGGCGAAGGCGGCCCCCUGGAUGAUACUGACGCUGAGGCACGAAAGCGUGGGGAGCAAACAGGAUUAGAUACCCUGGUAGUCCACGCCCUAAACGAUGAAUGCUAGUCGUCGGGGAGCUCGUCUCUUCGGUGAUGCACUUAACAGAUUAAGCAUUCCGCCUGGGGAGUACGGUCGCAAGAUUAAAACUCAAAGGAAUAGACGGGGACCCGCACAAGUGGUGGAGCAUGUGGUUUAAUUCGAAGAUACACGAAAAACCUUACCUACCCUUGACAUGCCAGGAACCCUGCUGAGAGGCGGGGGUGCCCGAAAGGGAACCUGGACACAGGUGCUGCAUGGCUGUCGUCAGCUCGUGUCGUGAGAUGUUGGGUUAAGUCCCGCAACGAGCGCAACCCUUGCCAAUAAUUGCCAUCAUUCAGUUGGGCACUUUAUUGGGACUGCCGGUGAUAAACCGGAGGAAGGUGGGGAUGACGUCAAGUCCUCAUGGCCCUUAUGGGUAGGGCUUCACACGUAAUACAAUGGUCGGUACAGAGGGUUGCCAAGCAGCGAUGCGGAGCCAAUCCCAGAAAGCCGAUCGUAGUCCGGAUUGUUCUCUGCAACUCGAGAGCAUGAAGUCGGAAUCGCUAGUAAUCGCGGAUCAGCAUGUCGCGGUGAAUACGUUCCCGGGUCUUGUACACACCGCCCGUCACACCAUGGGAGUGGAAUCUGCCAGAAGUAGGUAGCCUAACCGCAAGGAGGGCGCUUACCACGGUGGGUUUCAUGACUGGGGUGAAGUCGUAACAAGGUAACCGUA
rnacentral:rRNA from 1 species